GAUCCUGGCUCAGGAUGAACGCUAGCUACAGGCUUAACACAUGCAAGUCGAGGGGCAGCAUGGUCUUAGCUUGCUAAGGCCGAUGGCGACCGGCGCACGGGUGAGUAACACGUAUCCAACCUGCCGUCUACUCUUGGACAGCCUUCUGAAAGGGAAGAUUAAUACAAGAUGGCAUCAUGAGUUCACAUGUUCACAUGAUUAAAGGUAUUCCGGGUAAGACGAUGGGG
rnacentral:rRNA from 1 species